rnacentral:lncRNA from 1 species
AAAAAUGAGAGGAGAGCAAGGAGAUUGAUGAGAAGGCACACCAGGAAUCUUAGAAGAAUGAGGGAGCUGAGGAAGCAGAAUAUGGAUGUGGAGGCCCUGGAAUAUUUUGGUGAUGUGGAAGAUGUAUAUUCUUCCUCUGAUUCUGAGUAUGAAAGACCUCCUCCUGUGUGGAAUAUCAAUUUCCCUGAAGACAGUGAUGGUGAAGAUGGAGG